rnacentral:tRNA from 1 species
UUGCGGGAUGGAGCAGUUGGUAGCUCGUCGGGCUCAUAACCCGAAGGUCAUCAGUUCGAGUCUGGUUCCCGCUACCCA